UACGGCUAUAUUAUGUUGAAACACCAGUUCUCAUCUGAUCACUGAAGUUAAGCAACAUUGAGCCUGGUCAGUACUUAGAUGGGUGACUACUUGGGAAUACCAGGUGCUGUAA
rnacentral:rRNA from 1 species